rnacentral:lncRNA from 1 species
GGCCAAGUGACAGGAUGGUGAGAGCAGUUCCACUCUGUCAGAGUUACUGCUGCCACCACCAGCUCUGAUGAAUCACUCUCCACUACGUGAAUGGACAAGUCUGUCAGCAUGGCCACGGAGGCCAUGCCAGCUUCUAGAAUGAAUGUCUUGGAUUGGUGACUACGCUGAUCACACCAGGCUGAGCCCAGGAUCACACCAGGGACAAGACUGCCAGGCCUGAGCCAGUGCAGCCAACCCAGCCCAACUGCCCAGCACAGCCUCCCAUAACCAAUACAGUCGGGCCAACACAGCACAGCACAGCACAGCCCGGGCAGGCACCCUCACAGACUCCCACAGACAGACGUGCAGCCAUUGCUUCUGCCUACCUGAGACCAAUGCAGCCUUUGGAGCAAGGUAGAUGACAGACCUGGACCCCUGAGGAGCUAAUAGCCCAGGCUGGGCAGUAACCUUGCAGGAACAGCCUGGAAACUACCUCCUCCACUCUUUAUUCUCAACUCCAUGGCCUG